GGCAACAGCUCAAAUUUGAAAUCUGGCACCCGCCCGAGUUGUAAUUUGCAGAGGAGGCUUUGGGUGUGGCCCCGGUCUAAGUUCCUUGGAACAGGACGUCACAGAGGGUGAGAAUCCCGUACGUGCCCGGUGGCCGCGCCCGUGUGAAGCUCUUUCGAC
rnacentral:rRNA from 1 species